rnacentral:rRNA from 1 species
UACGUAGGGCGCAAGCGUUGUCCGGAAUUAUUGGGCGUAAAGAGCUCGUAGGCGGCCUGUUGCGUCCGCUGUGAAAUCCCGGGGCUCAACCCCGGGCCUGCAGUGGAUACGGGCUGGCUAGAGGCAGGCAGGGGAGAACGGAAUUCCUGGUGUAGCGGUGAAAUGCGCAGAUAUCAAGUGGAACACCAGUGGCGAAGGCGAAUCCCUGGACAACUUCUGACGCUGAGGCACGAAAGCUAGGGGAGCAAACAGG